rnacentral:rRNA from 1 species
AAGACUUGGCGGUGCCCUAUACCACCUAGAGGAGCCUGUUCUAUAAUCGAUACCCCCCGAUCAACCUCACCAUCUCUUGCCAAGACCGCCUGUAUACCUCCGUCGUCAACUAACCCCUCAAGGGAAAAAGUUGGUUUAAUGGCUUAUCACCAAAAAGUCAGGUCAAGGUGCAGCGAAUGAGAUGGGAAGAAAUGGGCUACAUUUUCUACCAGUAGACAAUACGAAAUAUCACUAUGAAAUCUGAUUUAGAAGGCGGAUUUAGCAGUAAAAAGAGAAUAGAGCGCUCUUUUUAAGUUGGCCCUAGGGCGCGCACACACUGCCCGUCACCCUCUUCGACUCUGUUCCCUUUAUCUAUAAUUGCCUUAGAAGAGAAAAGAAGAGGCAAGUCGUAACAUGGUAAGUCCACCGGAAGGUGGACUUGG